rnacentral:lncRNA from 1 species
AUUCCUCUAGUUCCUAACUGAGGGUAGACUCUAAGACCCAUUUCUUUUCCCCAGGAAAUCUGUGCUGCUCCUCAUCCCCUUUUCCUUCCAUAAAGAAAGAUAUGUGCUGAUGGUCUUCCCAAGAGAAAAUGAAUCCCAUGGAACUUAUCCCACGGUGAGAUGCGGCAACCAGGGCUCCAUGGAGAGGCUGCAUUUCAGGUUGUACAUCACUUUUGGCACCUUGUCCCUGAACAAAGGCAACCAAUCUUCAUUUUAAAUAUUCACCUAUCAGUUCCAGAAAACACAAAAGGUGGGAAUGGAAGUUUUAAUCCUGCUGUUGGAAAUAUGAGAAGAAAUGAAAGGAACUUCACAGAGCUUGGAGAGAAAAACCUUAAAGGAAUAAAAUUUAUUU